AACUGGUCAUCAACUUAGUACAGAUAAUGCAAUUGAUCCAAACCCUACAGAACUCACUGUUUCAAUUUACAUAACUUACAUAACUGUCAAGCUGAAAUCACUCUCAAAUUUUUUAAUUCAAAAUUUUAAUUUCAUUUAAUCAUAUUUAUUUAUUCAUUAAUUAAUUUAUUUUGAAAAUAAUUUUAACUUGUAUUUUACAUUCAGGGGUACAUGUGCCAGUUUGUUACAUGGGUAUAUCCCAUAUUGCUGAAUUUUGGGGUAUGAAUGAUCCCAUCAUCCAGAUGCUGAUUUGGUAUGGUUUGACUCUGUGUCACCAUAAAAAUCUCAUGUUGAAUUGUAAUUCCCAAAGUAGGGGGAAUGACUUGGUGGGAGGUGAUUAGCUCAUGAGGGCAGAUUUCCCCCUUGCUGUUCUUAGGUGGUAAGUGAGUUCUCAUGAGAUCUGAUGGUUUAAACAUAUGGCACAUCCCCCCUGGCUCUCUUGCUCUCCUGCCACCAUGGUAGAAUGUGCCUUGCUUCCCCCUUCACCUUCUGCCAAGAUUAUAAGUUUCCUGAAGCCUCCCAGCCAUGCUUCCUGUACAGCCUGUGGAACUGUGAGUCAGUUAAACCUCUUUUCUUUAUAAAUUACCCAGCCUCAGGUAGUUCUAUAUAGCAGUGUGAGAACAGAUUAAUACAUGAGCAUAGUACCUAAUAGUUUGUCAAACCUUGCCUUCCUCCUUCUCCCCUCUAGUAGUCCCGGUGUUUAUUCUUUCCAUCUUUAUGUCCAUGAGUACCCAGUGUUUAGCUCCCACUUAUAGGUGAGAUCUUGUGGUAUUUCAUUUUGUAUUCCUGCAUUAAUUUGCUUAGGAUAAUGGCCUUCAGCUGCAUCCAAGUUGCUUCAAAGGACAUGAUUUUGUUAUUUUUAUGGCUGCAUAGUAUUCCAUGGUGUGUGAAAUGGUUUGGAAGGUGGCCCCUAUAAAUUUCAUGGUGAAAUGUAAUCCUCAGUGUUGGAGGUGGGGCCUGGUAGGAGGUGUUUGGGUCAUGGGGGUGGAUCUCUCAUGGCCUGAUGCGUCCUUGUGAUAGUGAAUUCUUUCAAGAUCUGGUUGUGUAAGGGUGUGUGGUACUUACCCCCACUCCCAUUCUCUCUUGCUCCUGCUCUGGCCAUGUGAUGUACCUACUCCCUCUUGGCCUUCCAUCAUGAGUAAAUGCUCCCUGGAGACUCCACAGGCGCCAGGCAGAUGCCGUCACCAUGCUUCCCGUACAGCCUGCAGAGCUAUGAGCCAAUUAAAUCUCUUUUCCUUACAAAUUACCCAGUCUCAGGUAUUUCUUCAUAGCAAUGCAAGAAUGGCCUAAUAAUACUGUGUGGAUGCACCACAUUUUAUUGAUCCAAUCCACUGUUGAUGGGCACCUAGGCUGACUCCAUGUCUUUGCUAUUGUGAAUAGUGUUGCGAUGAACAUGCAAGUGCAUAUCUCCUUUUGGUAGAAUAACUGACUUUCUUUGGGUCAUAUACCAGUAAUGGAGUUGUUGGCUUGAAAGGAAUUUCUAUUUUAAAUUCUCUGAGAAAUUUCCAAACCGCUUUCUACAGUGGUUGAACUAAUUUACAUUCGCACCAAUUAUGUGUAAAUGUUCCCUUUUCUCCACAGCCUCCCAAGAGCUGCUGUUUU
rnacentral:lncRNA from 1 species